rnacentral:rRNA from 1 species
CCUACGGGAGGCAGCAGUGAGGAAUAUUGGACAAUGGGCGCAAGCCUGAUCCAGCCAUGCCGCGUGCAGGAAGACGGUCCUAUGGAUUGUAAACUGCUUUUAUACAGGAAGAAACACCUCUACGUGUAGAGACUUGACGGUACUGUAUGAAUAAGCAUCGGCUAACUCCGUGCCAGCAGCCGCGGUAAUACGGAGGAUGCAAGCGUUAUCCGGAAUCAUUGGGUUUAAAGGGUCCGUAGGCGGUUUAAUAAGUCAGUGGUGAAAGCCCAUCGCUCAACGAUGGAACGGCCAUUGAUACUGUUAAACUUGAAUUAUUAGGAAGUAACUAGAAUAUGUAGUGUAGCGGUGAAAUGCUUAGAGAUUACAUGGAAUACCAAUUGCGAAGGCAGGUUACUACUAAUAUAUUGACGCUGAUGGACGAAAGCGUGGGGAGCGAACAGGAUUAGAUACCCUGGUAGUCCACGCCGUAAACGAUGGAUACUAGCUGUUCGGAGCAAUCUGNGUGNGAGAGAAGAGAGUAAGUAGUCCACCGUGGGUAGGUACGUUCGUUCGAGAAGUUAGAACGUUACGAAGAGUAGUUAGACGNGNGAGAGCGACGACGACGACGACGGAGGAGGAGG